GCUGAGUGUGCCAGCAGUAACACAAUAACCUGACUCACCAAAGGGACACAAAUGGUGCUGAACCCCCACUGAGCAUUUAAAUUGCUACUAUCUGGUUACUAUCCCGCAGGAGAGAAGGAUACGUGGCAGGCCUACUCUACUAUGAAAGUCAAGGCUGGAGUCGCUGAUAUGGCAGCUUCAAUAACACUCAAAGCUUUAAUGCCCCGUAAUCUACUCUAAAGCCCCAAGAUGAAUUUACUUUAAGAGAAGUGCAGAUAGUUGGCCAGAGGAGACACAGACAGAGGAAUACAAAGCCUGGAGAGUCAGACACACAAUGUGUUCUGCCAGGAAGACAUCAUUGGAGGGGACAACUCGUGCGCUUCACUGCCUCUGUGCUCAGGUGUCGACGGGCUACCUUUACUUCAGGGACAACAGUCACCUUACAACAUAAUGGACUAUUAAUAGAGGGUAGAGGCAACAGGCGUCUUUCCUUUCUUCACAAGCUCAAGCAGGAGUAGGGCUUUGGCUACCAUAUAUCGGUGUCAAAUUGCACUGCUGACAACAAAAGACAAAAGUGUGUUGGAGACUGUAGCAUUUUCAUGUUGCUUUGACCAGAUUUUUCUACAAGCACAAUCCGUAGAGAAUCUUCUCUAUCCAAUC